UUCACCCAAAAAAUGUCGACAGUCUCUACUUUUCAUCCUCUCACAAAACUCAGGCCUUUCAAGAAUAACGAGCGAGUUCAAAGUAAGUGUCUACAUUCCUGGAGGCAGACUACAACUUUUGGAGAUACCUAUGAGACGGUCUUAGCAGACGAGUGGGUAAAAAUAUUAAUCUAUACGUUUGUUUUGUUUUAACAUGUUGUUAAACUAAUAUUACCUCGGUUCUUUUUUGGUAGGGAAAGGUGAGCGUCUUUGAUUUUUUUAAGUAUAGAUUGUUUACAUUAGUUGAUGCUUAUGGAUUCUAAAUUUUGUAGGCUUUUAUCUGAUCAGUUACAACUUUUAAGGUUUGCUUAUGGUUAUGGCAAACCUUAGAAAAAAACUAGGAAUGUAGUUUUCAAAGAAGUUUUUGACAAUCUUUAAGAUUUCACACAGUCAUAGGUUCUCUACGGUGGAAGAAUGGUUGCUGUGUCACAAAGUUUUUUAUUACGUAUGCAAACAACAGUUUUUCUUUUUCCCAAAAAUUCUUUCCUAUAAGAACAGAGUUUUUUGACUUCGAGA